rnacentral:rRNA from 1 species
UACGUAGGGGGCGAGCGUUGUCCGGAAUUAUUGGGCGUAAAGCGCGCGCAGGCGGUUUUGUAAGUCUUGUGUUUAAACUUGGGGCUCAACCCCAAGUCGCACGGGAAACUGCAGGACUUGAGUGCAGCAGAGGGAAGCGGAAUUCCACGUGUAGCGGUGAAAUGCGUAGAGAUGUGGAGGAACACCAGUGGCGAAGGCGGCUUUCUGGGCUGUAACUGACGCUGAGGCGCGAAAGCGUGGGGAGCAAACAGG